rnacentral:rRNA from 1 species
GACGAACGCUGGCGGCGUGCUUAACACAUGCAAGUCGAACGGAAAGGCCCUGCUUUUGUGGGGUUCUCGAGUGGCGAACGGGUGAGUAACACGUGAGUAACCUGCCCUUGACUUUGGGAUAACUUCAGGAAACUGGGGCUAAUACCGGAUAGGAGCUCCUGCUGCAUGGUGGGGGUUGGAAAGUUUCGGCGGUUGGGGAUGGACUCGCGGCUUAUCAGCUUGUUGGUGGGGUAGUGGCUUACCAAGGCUUUGACGGGUAGCCGGCCUGAGAGGGUGACCGGCCACAUUGGUACUGAGAUACGCCCCAGACUCCUACAGUAGACAGCAGUGGGAAAUAUUGCACAAUGGGCGGAAGCCUGAUGCAGCAACGCCGCGUGCGUGAUGACGGCCUUCGGGUUGUAAACCGCUUUCGCCUAUUACGAAGCUUGAGUGACGGUAAUGAAUAAAGAAGCACCGGCUAACUACGUG